AAACAUAACUGGAUUUCCAAAAAGUUAGCCAUCGAAAUGUUUUUUCACAUCUUCAUUUUCAUAACAUCAAGAUUAGAAAAGAAGAAAUGGAAAAUUACAAAAAAAAGAGAAAAAAAAAGCAUCACACAUCACUUAACUAAUCAAAAAUUAUGCUUUCACAGACCUACAGAGGCAAAUAUAUCAUCGAUGUCAUCGUGGGCGUCAGCGCUCUGCAGCUCCGGCGCCGCUCGGCUCUGCUGCUCGUCUCGGUUCGGUUCUGGCACCGCAGUCCUUCUCCGUUUCACCUUCCCCGCGGUCCUCCUCUGGAAGAGCCUUCGUCUGCGCGACCUGAGGAGACUCCUGCAUGUCCUCAUCACUGCACAGAAAUGAAGAUGCUUCCUCGCCGAUCCAGGUGGAGAUGAAGCCCAGACAACUUCCUGUCUGAGGAGCUGCAACUUCCUGUGGACGCUGAAGAUGAGGACAAUAAAUGCGUGCUCCGUUCAUCCUGUUAUCACUCUGCCGAUCUCUUACUCGUAUCCUUCUGCUUCCAGGCAUUUCAUCUUCAGGCACUUCAGGUGUAGGAAUGUCAGGAGGCGUUUCUCCUUCUGCAUCCUCUGGGAUUUGAACCACACAAUCAUGUCCUGGAGACGAGCUGACAGACGUGCAAACGUUCUCGCUUCUCUCAGUUGCUUCCUAAAGAUGACCUUUUGGUUGACCUCAUCCAUGAUGGAUUCCUCAGACCGGCCUCUCACAGUCAGUCCAUGGCGUCCUCCCUGCAGCCAGAGCACCUCGGUGGGAGCUUCCAUGUCCUUCAUCAUCGCGUUGAAAAGCUCCUGAGAAAAAACAGAUUAAAAAAGAUCGGCUCUGCACAAAAAAGAGCUGAACAACAACAGGCACACUCUAGAACAAAGUAUGAUUAUUCAGGAAAAUAAUCAAAGUUUUGCAGUGUUACCGGGUCACACAUGUCAUCCUCUGUCCCCGACACGAACAGCACCGGGAUGCUGGCAGGCAGCAUGCGCAGAUCCUGGCUCCUCUGCAGGUGGGCCUGCGUCUGCGCAGGAGGAUGCAGGGGGAAGCUCAGACAGAUGAGCCCCCGCGGGGCAUCACCUCCAUCCCGGCUCAGCUGGCUGGCCAGCGCUGCAGCCGCCCGGCCCCCCAUCGACCUACCUGUGGGAGGACAUUGAAAAUACCUGUAAAUAAAAUACAACUUAAAACACACACAAAAAAGCUGGGAGAAUGUGUACGUUACCUCCAAGAUAUAUGGAUUUUACUGCAAACUUCUACUGUGAUUUCAAGUAAUUCU